rnacentral:rRNA from 1 species
GCGACGCCGCGUGGGGGAAGAAGGCCUUCGGGUCGUAAACCCCUGUCAGGGAGGAAGAACCUCCUGCUGGUGAAUAGCCAGUGGGAGCUGACGGUACUCCCAGAGGAAGCCACGGCUAACUCCGUG